rnacentral:rRNA from 1 species
GCGACGCUGGCGGCGUGCCUAAUACAUGCAAGUCGAGCGAACAGAGAAGGAGCUUGCUCCUUUGACGUUAGCGGCGGACGGGUGAGUAACACGUGGGCAACCUACCUUAUAGUUUGGGAUAACUCCGGGAAACCGGGGCUAAUACCGAAUAAUCUGUUUCACCUCAUGGUGAAAUAUUGGAAAGACGGUUUCGGCUGUCGCUAUAGGAUGGGCCCGCGGCGCAUUAGCUAGUUGGUGAGGUAACGGCUCACCAAGGCGACGAUGCGUAGCCGACCUGAGAGGGUGAUCGGCCACACUGGGACUGAGACACGGCCCAGACUCCUACGGGAGGCAGCAGUAGGGAAUCUUCCACAAUGGGCGAAAGCCUGAUGGAGCAACGCCCGCGUGAGUGAAGAAGGAUUUCGGUUCGUAAAACUCUGUUGUAAGGGAAGAACAAGUACAGUAGUACCUGGCUUGUACCUUGACGGGUACCUUAUUAGAAAGCCACGGCUACUACGUGCCAGC